rnacentral:rRNA from 1 species
AUUGAACGCUGGCGGCAGGCCUAACACAUGCAAGUCGAACGAGUGGCGGACGGGUGAGUAAUGUCUGGGAAACUGCCUGAUGGAGGGGGAUAACUACUGGAAACGGUAGCUAAUACCGCAUACCAUCGGAUGUGCCUAGAUGGGAUUAGCUAGUAGGUGGGGUAACGGCUCACCUAGGCGACGAUCCCUAGCUGGUCGGAGAGGAUGACCAGCCACACUGGAACUGAGACACGGUCCAGACGCCUACGAGAGGCAGCAGUGGGGAAUAUUGAACAAUGGGCGCAAGCCUGAAGCAGCCAUGCCGCGUGUAUGAAGAAGGCCUUCGGGUUGUAAAGUACUUUCAGCGGGGAGGCGUUACCCGCAGAAGAAGCACCGGCUAACUCCGUGCCAGCAGCCGCGGUAUAC